UAAGACGUAGGAGACGAGCGUUAUCCGGAUUUACUGGGCGUAAAGCGCGUGCAGGCGGCUCGUUAAGUUGGAUGUGAAAGCCCCUGGCUAAACUAGGGGAGGUCGUUCAAGACUGGCGGGCUAGAGUGCAGCAGAGGAGAGUGGAAUUCCGAGUGUAGCGGUAAAAUGCACAGAUAUUCGGAAGAACACCAGAGGCGAAGGCGGCUCUCUGGGCUGCAACCGUCGCUCAGACGCGAAAGCUAGGGGAGCGAACGGGAUUAGAGACCCCGGUAGUCCUAGCCGUAAACGAUGUGGACUUGGCGUGGGGAGGGUAAAGCCUGUCCGUGCCGAAGCAAACGCGAUAAGUCCACCGCCUGGGGACUACGGCCGCAAGGUUAAAACUCAAAGGAAUUGACGGGGGCCCGCCC
rnacentral:rRNA from 1 species